rnacentral:rRNA from 1 species
ACGUCGGAACGUAACGUACGUCGUAGUACUGGGGGAGUAACACUUAGAAAUAGGUGCUAAUACCGCAUAAGCGCACAGCUUCGCAUGAAGCGGUGUGAAAAACUACUGGUGGUAUACGAUGGUUCCGCGUCUGAUUAGCUAGUUGGUGGGGUAAUGGCCUACCAAGGCAACGAUCAGUAGCCGGCCUGAGAGGGUGAACGGCCACAUUGGGACUGAGACACGGCCCAAACUCCUACGGAAGGCAGCAG